AUGCCCUACAGUGCCUCCGUCCCGCCCAGUCCCGUACAGCACCACCCUGGUCACCUGCUCUGCCGGCUCUGCCCUGGCCUCCCGCACGGCCGGAUGGGAGGGAGGGGAGAGAGAGGGAGAGAGAGAGGGAGAAUAACCAAUAACACCACUAGUAAUUAAAACAGAGCAUCAAACAAAUGAGUAGCAGCAGAAUUACUAAACACACAGAAUAUAUUUCAGGGUCCAUCAGUAACAUCAGUAACAUCAGUAAGCUGUUGCUUCAGGUGGUUCUUUCCUUCUCGUCUUCUGUAUGAAAAACUCUCAAACUGGAUUUUAAUGAUCAGUGUGUUACUUUAAAUGUAAGUUUGUUCAUUUAUGAACCCAUGUAUGAAUUUAUUUUUGUGCGUAACAUAAUGAUCUGACCACUAGGGGGAGAUAUUGUGAAGGAUGAAGGUUCUUGGACCCUGAUGAUACAGUAUGUAUCGAAAUGAUGCUAUUUGUACACACAGGUCCUGUUCAUGAUGUAGCAUUAACCGCUUCCUGACUGUUGGCCUGCGUACAAUGUUAAAGUUUAAAAUAACACAAAACAUAGAAUUACUGUAUUAUUAACGACUAAGUGAGCAUUUUUUAAUACCUCAUUCCCCUCUAUAACCUCCCACUAAGCUAUGGCCUACGGCCCACAAGGAAUAAUAAACAUACAUCAGCAACCAACCAAUUAAUACCAGAAUCUUUAAACAUGACACAAUUAUUUAAAACGAUCUUAUUGUUCAAUGUGAAGUUUUGCUUUAAUAAACCAUUCUUUUGAAUUCCUUCAGGAUCUAAAAAGGAUCUCAUCAACAUAACGUCUUUAUCAAAAAAAAAAAAAAAAAAAGAAAGAGAAAAGUGGACACAGAGUGUCGGAUUUUUCAAGAAAAAUGGACCUAAUCCUAUAUGUUCACGGAGGUGAAUGGGAAACCCGUAUGAAACUCAGAAUGGCGAAAAAAGGGCCAUGCAUUUAUGGUUGAUUUCACAGAGCACUUGAAUAAUCUGAACAAAAUGUUGCAAGUAGAGAUGAGCCGGAUACUCGGCUGAAACGAGUAUCCUGUACGGAUAAAGCACUUCUGCCGAGUACGAGUAUUAUACGAGUAAUACGAGUCAAUAUCUGCGCUCGGAUUGAAUGAAAAUCAUCAUUGGGUAUCUGAUUGUGUCAGCGUUCUGUGAUAGGCUAGUCACAGCGCCCCUCCCCCACACACAUACACAUGUAUUGUGUUGUUGUGUCUCGCUCUGCUCACUCACAGUCACACACACAACAGCUCUCUGUCUCUCCCUCAGUCACUCGGGUUCGCGGUGCUUUUCCGCUAACGUUUAGGGUUUCUUCAGCUUUUUACUUAACGUUAAUAAUACGUACUUACUAACCAGUAGAGUUCUGCUAAACGUGGGUUCGUUCAGACUUGGUGCUUGCUCGGUAGAAUGCGACUCGCAUUGCGUCUCUGUCUGUCGGAGUUUUUAUUUCUUUUUUUAACCUUCAGCUAUCCUAAAUUAACAGCACUGGCUGAAAAAAUGUUGUCAGUACAGUACCUACCUUCGUGAGCAAGCUUUUUCAGUAAUGAACAUUAAUAAAACAAAGCUGCACUCAAAGCUCACACAUAAGCACUUACAUGAGAUUCUAAAAUUAAUGUCUACUCAGGACAUAAUGCCUGAUAUUGAUGCACUUGUGCAGGCUAAAAGAUGGCAAGUUUCAGGGGAAAAUUGAUCAAAUAAAUUUGUUUACUUUAAAAAACAUACAUACGCAUAAAUUAACAAUUUUUACAAAGAGUUUCUUUUUAAAACAGCUGCCACUUAAGAUUUUAAGUGUGUGGACAAUCUCUAUGUUUUGAUGUUUGAUUUAUGUUAAAAUGCAGGACAGUUUGUUUUUAAGGUAAACAAACCUGCGACUAAAUGUUUGCGCCAUUGUACAAUAACUGUGUACAGUUUUUAUGCAUAAUGCACUUAAAUAAAUCUUAAACUGGGUAAAAGUGUUGUUGCACAAUUGCACAUACUACUUACUGUAGGUUGUUCGUAAUAUAUUUUUGUAAAAGAACAAUUCAUGUAAUAUAAAGAUUUUUACAAUUAAACUUGUUUAAAAAAGUGGACUUAUUGUUAGUUCUAUGUAAUUUUGCUAUGAGUUUACUGGUCUGGGUCCCUUGAGAUCAGAUUAAGCUGUAUGCGACCCCCAGACCAAAAUGAGUUUGACACCCCUGCUCUAUAUGAAAGACUUGUCUUGAACAAUUUCUUGCUAGCCAAAAGAACAAUGCUAACUAACUAAGCCAUUACAGGAGCCGUCCAAACUGGAGUCCUUAGAUUAAUAACUACAUUUAGAGUUCAACUUUCACUCGUUCACCAAAGCAAUACACUCCAACUUCAGUGUGCUAGGGAACAUAAAGGUUGGACUUGGAUCUGGAGUUGUUUUAAUUGCCUAGAUCAAGGUUUAGUAACGUUUAAAUCAGUAUACUGCAUGAUUUUUAAUGUUAGAUAAAUGAGAUCUGACUCAGUUGCACAAGUUUUCUAGUGAACUUCUGUGACAAGAGGUACAACACCACCGCAAAAACCUUCUGGGUUCCUCUUAAGAAUCAGCCACCAGCCACCGGCCACCAAUAAAACUACCAACACAAGGGUCAGUGCCUCACAGUGAAGAACAUUGAAGCUGCAGCACAGCAGAAGCCCAAGAAAAUUAUUUCAUUACAAGGUUUACUGGAUCUCUUCCGCUCAGUGAAAAUGCCGCAACCUGCUAUGAAAACAGACUCGAAGUCACUCGGGAUUGUCCAGAUGAUGAUCGGAGCUGUGAUACUUUCAUUCGGUUUUCUGUUAAACAAUGUUCCGUUAAACAAUGUUCCGUUACACAAUGUUCCGUUAAACAAUGUUCCAUUAAACAAUGU